rnacentral:rRNA from 1 species
AUGAAAAGAGGAGGAUGGUCUAGCCCCCCGACGGGAUUUGUUAAACUUAACGUUGAUGCUUCUUUUGACCACGACCUUCUCAGGGGUACGAUCGGGGCGGUCGUAAGAGAUGACAAAGGUAGGUUCAUCGGUGGGGGAAAUGGUAAGAUUGACUGGUGUGCAGAUGUGUUGAUGGCUGAAGCUUUGGCAUUAAAAUUUGGUCUAUCGCUUGCGCAAAGGAUGGGUUGUAAUCGCAUAAUUAUUAACUCGGAUAAUAUGGAGGUGAUCGAGACCAUGAACAAAGGAGGACGAUCGUCGGGGGCAGCAGCAGCAAUUUUUUAUGACUGUUUUCACUUAGCUUGCGAUUUUCCUAUUUCUAGAUUCCAGCAUUGUAAUAGAGAAGCAAAUAAAGUUGCUCGUGAACUUGCCAAGUUGGCUAGAUUUUCCUUCAUUUCUGAUUGGCUCGAGGAACCACAUAAUGCAAUUGUACCAAUCCUCAUAAACGAUGUAAUGAAUAUUUCUAAUGAAUAA